rnacentral:antisense_RNA from 1 species
AUCCUACCGAGGCCACCAUAGACCAGCCAGCCCUCAGCGUACAUGCCAGCUAAUUACAGAUGCAGGAGCAAACCCCUGGCCCAUACAUCAAAACAUACAGUAAACAGAGAAAAAAAAGGAUCUCAGGUGAGAUGAUGUAUGGGAAUGCUCAGCAUACAGAAUGAAUGGAUAAGAGGCCUGAAAACAUAAUCCUGUAAACAACCAUAUUGAAAGAGAAGACAGAAGACAUCAAAGAGAUGGAGUUUCGCUCUUGUUGCCCAGGCUGGAGAGCAACGGCACAAUCUCAGCUCACCGCAACCUCCGCCUCCCGAGUUCAAGCAAUUCUCCUGCCUCAGCCUCCUGAGUAGCUGGAAUUACAGGAUUUUGGAAGCAUUGCCUUCUACAGAAUCCACAGUAGUCCGAAGUUCUUCUACGGUUUUUGUCAAACUUUGAUUUUCCAUCUCUAGCUUCAAUAAUCUACUUGAUGUCAACUCAUUCACCUCAUGGCCCAGGGAUUUCUGCGGUGCUAUAAUAUUGAAAAAUACACCAUUGUAUUUACUCUGUACUGUUUUUACUAUGUUUACUCUUUACUAUUUAAAAAGUUGAGUGUAUAUGCAUUGCAUCAUCUGAUCUUUAACUUU